UCCCUGGUGGCUCAGAAGUUAAAGAGUCUGCCUGCAAUGCAGGAGACCUGGGUUCGAUCCCUGGGUUGGGAA
rnacentral:tRNA from 1 species